UUGGAGGGCAAGUCUGGUGCCAGCAGCCUGGUAAUUCCAGCUCCAAUAGCGUAUAUUAAAGUUGCUGCAGUUAAAAAGCUCGUAGUUGAAUUUCGGGACCAUCAUGUCGGUCGUGCCUCGGUACGUACUGGUAUUGUUGGUUUCUCCCUUCUGACGAACCAUGAUGUCAUUUAUUUGGUGUUGUGGGGAAUCAGGACUGUUACUUUGAAAAAAUUAGAGUGUUUAAAGCAGGCUCACGCUUGAAUACAUUAGCAUGGAAUAAUGAAAUAGGACGUUUGAUUCUAUUUUGUUGGUUUCUAGGAUCGACGUAAUGAUUAAUAGGGAUAGUUGGGGGCAUUAGUAUUCAAUUGUCAGAGGUGAAAUUCUUGGAUUUAUUGAAGACUAACUACUGCGAAAGCAUUUGCCAAGGAUGUUUUCAUUAAUCAAGAACGAAAGUUAGGGGAUCGAAGACGAUCAGAUACCGUCGUAGUCUUAACCAUAAACUAUGCCGACUAGGGAUCGGAUGAUGUUAAUUUUUUAAUGACUCAUUCGGCGACUUACGGGAAAC
rnacentral:rRNA from 1 species